UAACUUUUUCCACAAGCAUCCAAUUGUUUUGCGAUCUUCGAAAGAAAGUUUCAUAAAUGAUUUUUUUACAAGAAGCGUUGAUCGAUUUGAAUUGAGGAGACAAGGGGCGACCUCUGGGAUUUUUUGUUUGAAAGUGUAACUUUUCCCAUAGUAAAUCCUAUGUAAACUUUGAACCGCUUGCGCUAAAUUAUAGUUUCACCGAUUGCGCUGAAAUUUUGUACAUUUUAUAUAGGACCUAAAUGGGAUCUAAAAAGUCGACUGGAGCGAGGAUUUAUUUUUUCCAUACAAGCGUGUCCCAUACUAAUGUCCCAACUAACAAUUGCAAGUCACAAACAAGCAAGCUUACUGAAUUGUUGCUUAAUAAUGGUAAUGAUAGCUGAACUAAAAUUAUGCUCUACACAUUACUGUUUAAAUGAUUUUUCAAUUGAGAAAGUAGUCAAUGUUCGACUUUCCUCGUCGGUAUCAACUAUGAUAAAUUAAAACACUUUUCAAACGUUUAACAAGAAAUUUAUUCGGCAAGCAUUGAUUCCUUAACAAAAGAGUUUAACAAAGCAUUUGUCUGCAUCUUAUUAAGCUGAUGUAUCGAUAAGCAUAUGCUCCUGAACAAUGUGCUUUUCACUUGUCAAAUAAACGCCUUCAGCCCGUCAUAGUUUGACUAGGAACUUUGUUCGGAUUAUGGGAUAAAUCAUGGCUAAAACUGUUUAGACAACCAAGUUAUUAAAGAACUAAUAUUUUAAACGAAUCACAUAAAAUAAAACAGAAUAGAAUUAUGUAGCUUAACAUUGAGUGCCAAAAGACGUAAUCAACGUAAAAAUGAGGCAUGUAACAAGAUAUCUUGUACACUCAUUGCACAAUUAUGGGUCACUCAAGGAGCAAUCACUUCAUAAUAUGAAUCGUUUUUCAUACAAAAAUAACACUUUCAUUAUUUUUAUUUUAUAUUCUCUUCAUUGAAACUCCUUUUUGUUGUUUUAUAUAAAAAUCUGCUUGUAAAAUUCACUUUAGGUGGUGAAAAUUACUGAAAUGUUGAUGAAUAAUGAAAACCACAAUUAUGAGUCAAAAUUGGCUGUGUAACAAUUAUGGGUCAAUUUGUUGCCUAUUAUGGGUCACUCAAGAGUAAUCGGCUGAACAAUAAUGUUUUGUCUAUUUUUUCAAUGAAUGGUCACUUAUUCUAGAUAGAUCAACUAUAGUAGAAUCUAAAACUGGUCUCAAACCUCUUAACGAAGCGUGUUUUCAUGAUUUGUAAUCAUUUUUUCAAUAUUGGGACAGAAUCUCCAACACAACCACUGAUAAACGCCUAAAAGUAUGCAAUACCCAUGUACGGAGAACUGUCAAUAUUAUGCUGCACAAAAAGUGACCCAUAAUUGUGUGAUUUUCGGUGUUCCUUGUCACAAUAAUGAGUCAUUUAAAUUUUGCAUGAAAUAAGCUUUAAUUAGCUACAGUCACAUGAUUUUUUACAUUUAGAACGUAAAUUAUACUUUUGUUCUGGUGACGAUACCAUUUCGCACUUGAAAAUCACUAAAGCUCGCCUUUACAGAGCUUACGAAAGCAGCGCACGCACUUUCUGAUGUUCACAAUCGAAGCGUUACUUUGACAGAUGGUUUUAUGCUGAACAAAAAAUUACUGAAAAUAUGUAUGUUUUGACGUAUAAGCCCGUGUGCGAUACCUAUAGUGACACAAAACAAAUCAACUCAUCAACGAAAAAUGAUAAUGGCUAACAAAAGCUUGCAAUUAAUUAGUAUUUAUCUAUUAAAGUGAAAAGUGACUAAUAAUUGUGUGUGACCCAUAAUUGUGCAAUGACUGUACCUUGAUUAUUAUAUUUUUUAUCUUCCGCAGCAGUUCGAUUGUAGGAGACACUUGGAUCGAUGCAUUUGACAUUGCAGUGCUGUCGUGUUUACUGAAUAUUGUUCCCGCAGUCACCUAGAUAACCAAACAGCAUUCAGAAAUCGACACAUUUCAAGUAUCCCUAAACAUCCAUAUGCACUAUUUAUUGAACAUAACAUCAAGAUUCCAUGACAAGAGCAUAAAUAAAAAAAUGCUUAACGGAUCUUCGACUGAGCAUGAGAAGAUAACCUGAACAGAUGCUCUGAAUGCACCAUGUCCAAGACCAUACCGCACCACAUAUUGCCAUACAUUUUUAAAGAUCGAUAUUUAAUAAUAAAAUCGCAAUUAGUACAUCUGGAAACAAUAUCUUCAAUAAGGACCAACACUUUUUGGCCGCAUUCGAUACAAGUUUUCUCACCGUGCGAUAAAAAUACUGACAGCGAAAUCAGAAUGGAAAACACGUGUUUUGGGUUGAACAGUUGUUGAAGUAUAUGGCGUUGUUCAGUUGAUUACCACUUGCUGUGGUAAUUCACCACUGCUGAACACAAGUUCAGGAGUGACCAUUAUUGAGUCAUGGGAAGAUUAUGUUUUGCUUUGGGUGCUACAUCUCACCAUCUCUAGGAUGGCGCAGAUAGGAAGGCAUGCGGCUGGCAAUCGACAGGUCUCGAGUUCUAAUCCGGAUUUAGUCAUUUUUGCCAAAGCUGAAUAACAACUUUCCUGUACAUUUGUAAAACGUUUUGAAGAACAAAAAAUUAAGUUGGUGCACAACAUGAUGCUUUAUAACUUCUCCAAAUUUGUGUGAACAAAACCCGAACAUAGGUUGUACGUGAAAAUAAUUCAAAUGUUAUUCAACAUUAUGUUGAAUUAAUUCGUCAUAAUGGUGUUUGUUAAAUAAGUGAUUGUUAGCUGGGGUGCAUUAGUAUGGGACAAACGACUCGUGCAAGAAAAGAAUCGGGUGUAAAAGGAACAACACUGCCGCUUACCAUGAAGCACAUUUUGUAUUAACAUUAUUUUGUUGUAUAUUGCCAUAUUUGCUGGAUUUCCUAUGCAAAUGGUUGAUUGAUUGAUUUGUCUUUAUUAAAGAGACUUUCAGCCCUUGGCUGGUUCGUCUCUCAGUAUGCAAGUGGGGUGUGGUAUAUCCAGUAUUCCUGACAACACUUGCCAUGCCAUGCUGCUGCGAUAAGCAUUCGAUGGAGUUGAAUGUUUAUGAACUGAGCGAGUUUCGUCGUGUCAGCAUUGCAUGUGCGGUAGUAUGGGACACGCUUGUAUGGAAAAAAUAAAUCCUCGCUCCAGUCGACUUUUUAGAUCCCAUUUAGGUCCCAGAUGAACUGUACAAAAUUUCAGCGCAAUCGGUGAAACUAUAAUUUAGCGCAAGCGGUUCAAAGUUUUCAUACGAUUUACUAUGAGAAAAGUUACACUUUCAAACAAAAAAUCCCAGAGGUCACCCUUUGUCCCCUUAAUUCAAAUCGAUCAACGCUUCUUGUAGAAAAAUCAUGUAUGAAACUUUCCUUCGAAGACCGCAAAACGAUUGGAUGCUUGUGGAAAAAGUUAUUGAUUUAUUACCAAUUAGUGAUCUAACGAACGGCUUCUUGUUUUGUUUUAUCAGCAGCACUGCUGCUGCCGUUGUUGCAUGGGGUGGCGGGAGGCAUCACCACCCCCAGAAACAGCAGCAGCCAAGGCAGCAGCUACAGUGCUGCUAAUAAAACAAAACAAAAAGCCGUUCGUAAGAUCACUAGUCGGUAAUAAAUCAAUAACUUUUUCCACAAGCAUCCAAUUGUUUUGCGGUCUUCGAAGGAAAGUUUCAUAAAUGAUUUUUCUACAAGAAGCAUUGAUCGAUUUGAAUUAAGGAGACAAGGGGCGACCUCUGGGAUUUUUUGUUUGAAAGUGUAACUUUUCCCAUAGUAAAUUGUAUGAAAUCUUUGAACCGCUUGCGCUAAAUUAUAGUUUCACCGAUUGCGCUGAAAUUUUGCACAGUUAAUAUGAGACCUAAAUGGAAUCAAAAAAGUCGACUGGAGCAAGAAUUUGAUGUUUGUCCCAUACUAAUGUGCGGUGCGGUCCCACGGUCUGGACUGACCGCAGUUCUAAGACACAUCGAUCGUAUGAUCGUCCAAGCCCCUCCCCAAUCCAACUUUGUAUGUGUUAGUAAUUAAGUAGGUCUAAGAAAUAUCAUGAAUAAAGCACAAGCCAUUAUGGUCAGAACCAA